UGGGGAAUAUUGCGCAAUGGGCGAAAGCCUGACGCAGCAACGCCGCGUGAGUGAUGAAGGCCUUCGGGUCGUAAAGCUCUGUCGGGAGGAACGAACAACCGUUGGGACCAAUAUCCCGGCGGCAUGACGGUACCUCCAAAGGAAGCACCGGCUAACUCCGUGCCAGCAGCCGCGGUAAUACGGAGGGUGCAAGCGUUGUUCGGAAUUACUGGGCGUAAAGCGCGUGUAGGCGGACUCAGAAGUCGGGUGUGAAAGCCCCGGGCUCAACCCGGGAAGUGCGCUCGAAACCAUGGGUCUUGAGGUCCGGAGGGGAUCGGGGAAUUCCCAGUGUAGAGGUGAAAUUCGUAGAUAUUGGGAGGAACACCGGUGGCGAAGGCGCCGAUCUGGACGGAUUCUGACGCUGAGACGCGAAAGCGUGGGGAGCAAACAGG
rnacentral:rRNA from 1 species